UGCAAGUCGAACGGUGAAGCCCAGCUUGCUGGGUGGAUCAGUGGCGAACGGGUGAGUAACACGUGAGCAACCUGCCCCUGACUCUGGGAUAAGCGCUGGAAACGGCGUCUAAUACUGGAUACGAACCACGAAGGCAUCUUCAGUGGUUGGAAAGAUUUUUUGGUUGGGGAUGGGCUCGCGGCCUAUCAGCUUGUUGGUGAGGUAAUGGCUCACCAAGGCGUCGACGGGUAGCCGGCCUGAGAGGGUGACCGGCCACACUGGGACUGAGACACGGCCCAGACUCCUACGGGAGGCAGCAGUGGGGAAUAUUGCACAAUGGGCGCAAGCCUGAUGCAGCAACGCCGCGUGAGGGAUGACGGCCUUCGGGUUGUAAACCUCUUUUAGCAGGGAAGAAGCGAAAGUGACGGUACCUGCAGAAAAAGCGCCGGCUAACUACGUGCCAGCAGCCGCGGUAAUACGUAGGGCGCAAGCGUUAUCCGGAAUUAUUGGGCGUAAAGAGCUCGUAGGCGGUUUGUCGCGUCUGCUGUGAAAUCCGGAGGCUCAACCUCCGGCCUGCAGUGGGUACGGGCAGACUAGAGUGCGGUAGGGGAGAUUGGAAUUCCUGGUGUAGCGGUGGAAUGCGCAGAUAUCAGGAGGAACACCGAUGGCGAAGGCAGAUCUCUGGGCCGUAACUGACGCUGAGGAGCGAAAGGGUGGGGAGCAAACAGGCUUAGAUACCCUGGUAGUCCACCCCGUAAACGUUGGGAACUAGUUGUGGGGUCCAUUCCACGGAUUCCGUGACGCAGCUAACGCAUUAAGUUCCCCGCCUGGGGAGUACGGCCGCAAGGCUAAAACUCAAAGGAAUUGACGGGGACCCGCACAAGCGGCGGAGCAUGCGGAUUAAUUCGAUGCAACGCGAAGAACCUUACCAAGGCUUGACAUAUACGAGAACGGGCCAGAAAUGGUCAACUCUUUGGACACUCGUAAACAGGUGGUGCAUGGUUGUCGUCAGCUCGUGUCGUGAGAUGUUGGGUUAAGUCCCGCAACGAGCGCAACCCUCGUUCUAUGUU
rnacentral:rRNA from 1 species